rnacentral:rRNA from 1 species
AUGGCUCAGGAUGAACGCUGGCGGCGUGCCUAACACAUGCAAGUCGAGCGAUUACUUCGGUAAAGAGCGGCGGACGGGUGAGUAACGCGUGGGUAACCUGCCUCAUACACAUGGAUAACAUACCGAAAGGUAUGCUAAUACAGGAUAAUAUAAGAGAUUCACAUGGAUUUCUUAUCAAAGCUCCGGCAGUAUGAGAUGGACCCGCGUCUGAUUAGCUAGUUGGUAAGGUAAUGGCUUACCAAGGCGACGAUCAGUAGCCGACCUGAGAGGGUGAUCGGCCACAUUGGAACUGAGACACGGUCCAAACUCCUACGGGAGGCAGCAGUGGGGAAUAUUGCACAAUGGGCGAAAGCCUGAUGCCAGCAACGCCGCGUGAGUGAUGAAGGCCUUCGGGUCGUAAAACUCUGUCCUCAAGGAAGAUAAUGACGGUACUUGAGGAGGAAGCCCCGGCUAACUACGUGCCAGCCGCAGC